GAUGAACGCUGGCGGCGUGCCUAAUACAUGCAAGUCGAGCGAACAGAUGAGGAGCUUGCUCCUCUGACGUUAGCGGCGGACGGGUGAGUAACACGUGGAUAACCUACCUAUAAAACUGGGAUAACUUCGGGAAACCGGAGCUAAUACCGGAUAAUAUAUUGAACCGCAUGGUUCAAUAGUGAAAGACGGUUUUGCUGUCACUUAUAGAUGGAUCCGCGCCGCAUUAGCUAGUUGGUAAGGUAACGGCUUACCAAGGCAACGAUGCGUAGCCGACCUGAGAGGGUGAUCGGCCACACUGGAACUGAGACACGGUCCAGACUCCUACGGGAGGCAGCAGUAGGGAAUCUUCCGCAAUGGGCGAAAGCCUGACGGAGCAACGCCGCGUGAGUGAUGAAGGUCUUCGGAUCGUAAAACUCUGUUAUUAGGGAAGAACAAAUGUGUAAGUAACUAUGCACGUCUUGACGGUACCUAAUCAGAAAGCCACGGCUAACUACGUG
rnacentral:rRNA from 1 species